rnacentral:rRNA from 1 species
UACAGAGGCCACAAGCGUUAGACGGAAUCACUGGGCUUAAAGCGUGUGUAGGCGGGAUGGUAAGUACCUUGUGAAAUCCCACAGCUUAACUGUGGAAAUGCUUGGUAUACUGCCGUUCUUGAGUCACCUAGGGGCAGCUGGAACAGAUGGUGGAGCGGUGAAAUGCAUAGAUAUCAUCUGGAACGCCAAUGGUGCAGACAAGCUGCUGGGGGUGUACUGACGCUGAGGCACGAAAGCCAGGGGAGCAAACGGGG